rnacentral:rRNA from 1 species
AGCGAUCCCCGGGGCGAGUCUAGAUAACUGUGCAGAUCGUACGGGCCUGGCCUGACGACGUGUCGAGUGAGUUUCUGCCCUAUCAACUCGAAGCAUGUGUAAGGGACAUGCUUGGUGUCAACGGGUGACGGGGAAUCAGGGUUCGAUUCCGGAGAGGGAGCCUGAGAAACGGCUACCACAUCCAAGGAAGGCAGCAGGCGCGCAAAUUACCCAAUCCAGACAAUGGGAGGUGGUGACGAAAAGUACCGAAUGGCGGCCUUUUGGGCGUCAGUUUGGAAUGAAGACAAUUUAAGCAAUUGAAUUGAGUAACGACUGGAGGGCAAGUCUGGUGCCAGCAGCCGCGGUAAUUCCAGCUCCAGUAGCGUAUCUCAAAGUUGCUGCGCUUAAAACGCUCGUAGUUGGAUCACGCACCGCGCGCCGGUGAAGUUCCGCGUGCGGCUACAGCCCCGCAGUUCUCGGAUGGUGCGUUCUCGCGCCAGUCUGGGUUUGCGGGAGCCGCGCGCGGGAUUUGGUAGCCGGGGCGCGGUAAUUGCACGUGAGGAUGUGUGUUGAUCUUGAGUGCAUCGACGCACGUGUCUCACGGGGUGUGCCUUGAGUAAAUCAGAGUGCUUAAAGCAGGCGAUAGCUUGAAUGUUGAUAGCAUGGAACGAACAAUCGUGUAGGGUUGUGCUGGUUCCGGCGGCCGUUCGCGACCGCUGCAGCACACGACACCGACCUUCGGCUUCGGAUGUUGGUUCCGAGUUGGGGUAGAGAUUAAGAGGAGCGGUUGGGGGCAUUGGUAUUUGGCAGCGAGAGGUGAAAUUCUUGGACCUGCCAAGGACUAACAAAUGCGAAGGCAUCUGUCCAGACCGUAUCCAUUAAUCAAGAACGAUAGUGAGAGGUUCGAAGACGAUCAGAUACCGUCCUAGUUCUCACUGUAAACCAUGCCGACCCGGGAUGAGUCUGGAGCAGUAGACGCUCGAGGUUGGUCCCCCUGGGAAACCUUAAGUCUUUCGGUUGCGGGGGGAGUAUGGUCGCAAGGCUGAAACUUAAAGGAAUUGACGGAAGGGCACCACCAGGGGUGGAGCCUGCGGCUUAAUUUGACUCAACACGGGGAAACUUACCUGAGCAUGACAUCGGGAGGAUAAACAGACUGUCGCUCUUUUUUGAUUCGGUGAUUGGUGGUGCAUGGCCGUUCCUAGUUCGUGGAGUGAUCUGUCAGGCCGAUUCCGGUAACGAACGAGACCACAAUCUCCAGUUGACGAGUCGGGAGAGACGCGCUGCGCAGCCUUCCGGCGACGGAAACUGCGUGCGCGUCGCAGGCAGCAGGUCUUUCCGUGGCGGCACGGGUCUCACGGCCUGGGCAGCCGCGGGGAUCGACCUCGCUCCUCCCGAGCAGGCAGUGUCGCUCCCGCGAGGGCGCGGCAUUGCGUCCUGGAGAGACAGCGGAAUAUAUUUCAAAAUCCGAGGAAGUGUGGCUAUAACAGGUCUGUGAUGCCCUUAGAUGUUCAGGGCUGCACGCGCGCUACAAUGGCGACGACAACGAGUUUCUGGAUCGACAGAUUCGGGCAACCUCCAAUCGUCGCCGUGAUGGGGACUGACGCUUGUAAAUGCGUCACGAAAGAGGAAUCCCUAGUACGUGUAAUUCAUGAGAUUGCGCGGAUUUAGUCCCUGCCCUUUGUACACACCGCCCGUCGCUACUACCGAGUGAAUGGUGUCAUAAUGCCUUGG